CUAGACUUGCCGAAGGCGGCGACUCACUUGACGCUGUGGAAGGCGGACCUGGCGGACGAGGGCAGCUUCGACGAAGCCAUUAAGGGAUGCACCGGUGUGUUCCAUGUCGCCACACCUAUGGAUUUUGAGUCCAAGGACCCUGAGGUACUUAUACACAUAACCAAGCAACUUUUACCUGGUAUUUAUUGUGCCAAUCAUUUCUAGAGUAAUUGUGAUCAAAACAAACAAACGUCGACGGUGGUCACGGUGGUGGUGGGACUGGUGGAGCUAUAAUUAGUCGCCGGAAUAUCUUGUUUGUUAGAUCGUCAAAAACUUAGCAGUCGAUCAAAAAAAGUCAACUUACAAUGAGACAGAAGAUGAUUUUUUUUGGUAAAAGACAGAAGAUGAUUAGGUUUGGUAGCUUUGACAGACUACCAUUAUACAUUUAAAAAAAAAAAAACCAAUAAUGGGCAUUCCAUAGUUCUGUUUUAUAUAAAAGUUCUAUUAUACUAACAACAAAAGGCUACCACUAUUACUAUGUGAUAUAACGGUUCUUAAUUUUUUCUCUCUAAAUUAUCACCACCCACAAUCAUUUGCAAGUGUUUUGUCUUUUCGAUACUGCAAUACUAGUUAAGAAUUAGAAGUUGUAGUGUUCUUGAUAAUUUGUUUGGUUUGGCAGAAUGAAGUGAUAAAGCCAACAAUAAACGGGGUGUUAGACAUCAUGAAAGCAUGUCUGAAAGCAAAGACUGUGAGAAGGUUGGUGUUUACAGCUUCUGCUGGAUCUGUAAAUGUUGAAGAGACCCAAAAGCCGGUCUACAACGAAAGCAACUGGAGCGAUGUCGAAUUUUGCCGGAGAGUAAAGAUGACUGGUUGGGUAAGUACUAUACUGACAAAGAACAUGAAUGUGGAUCAAUGUAUUAGACACACAACUUCUUAAUAUUUGUUGCAAAACUCUAAUUCUGCACGUUAUUGUUCUGUUUCAGAUGUAUUUUGUAUCAAAAACUCUGGCUGAGCAAGAGGCAUGGAAGUUUGCAAAAGAAAACAACAUUGAUUUCAUUACCAUUAUACCAACUCUGGUCAUCGGUCCAUUUCUCAUGCCGGCUAUGCCGCCGAGUCUCAUUACCGGACUUUCGCCUCUAUUUGGUACCACUACUACUUCACAUUGUUGUUAAUCACUUGCAAAUUAGCGAUCAGUUACUUACAUCUGCUAAUAUUACUUGUAACAGGAAAUGAAGGUCAUUAUUCGAUCAUAAAGCAAGGCCAGUUUGUGCAUCUAGACGACCUCUGCCAGUCUCAUAUAUACUUGUACGAGCAUCCGAAAGCAGAGGGUCGCUACAUUUGUUCAUCGCACGAUGCUACGAUUCAUGAAAUUGGAAAAUUGCUAAGAGAAAAGUAUCCGGAAUACAAUGUUCCUACAAAGUAAGUAAUUCCGCCCUCUUGAUAACCCUGGUUAUAUUGCUGUUAAUGAGCAAUGAAUUGACAAAUUGGUUCUGUUCAGGUUCAAGGGCAUUGAAGAUAACUUGACAAAGGUCCAUUUUUCUUCAAAGAAAUUGUUGGAAACAGGGUUUGAGUUCAAGUACAGCUUGGAGGACAUGUUUGUAGGGGCAGUCGAUGCUUGUAAAGCAAAGGGUUUGCUUCCACCUCCUACUGAAAGAGUUGAGAAGCAGGAGAAUGGCGAUAGCAGUGUCGUCCAUGUCGAAGUCACUGGCUAACUAAAAUUGCCAGUGUUGGUUACAUUUUGUAUCUUGGCCUCAUUAAUCUAUGGCCUCAUUAAUCUAUCUUCUGUAUGUUGAGAGCUUCAAAUAAAUUGCUGUUUGAUUUUAUUGGUGUGCCUAAUGAGAAAUGUAAUUUUUUUUCUCCAUGUAAUUUGAGGUCACAUACGUAUAAAUAGUAGAGCAUAUGCGACUCACUAUCCAUAUAAUGAAAUAGUAGGACGUCUCAUUCAUCAUUAUCCAAAACUUGUUUAAUCGUUGUGUAAUUGCAUAGUGCUGGCCUGGAUACGUACUAGUUAAUUUCCAAGAGACUGAUACGUAUAAUCAGUAUCACAAUUGCGCUCCAAUUUCACUAUGAUAAUAAGUAAAUAAUUUCCAAAUGAUAGAAAUUGCCUUAAAUCAUAUGAUGGAUGACCUUUCCGGUCUGCUGGAUCCUGAGGUAUGCAUAUACUGAGGCUAUAUGAUGUACCUAAUAGCAAUGGCGAAGCCAGCUGAGGAUGAGUGGGGGCUGGUGCCCCCGAUAGAAUAUCAACAAGUGCUCACAUAAUGCAUAAUACAUUUGUGUUCCCACAAGAACAUACCAUUCUCUCCCACCAGCUGGAAAAAAAAGUGGUGAAACUCCACUGUUUUGUACCUGAAAAAAAUAUCCCAGCCUUUGUAGCCCGAUGAUUUUAUCUUCUUAACUUGAAGUUAGAGAACCUAUGAGUUCUGACAAAACUAUAGCCACAUAUUAAAGUAAAAAAGUAUUUAUUUUAACUACAAUUAAUCAAUAGGUGUUUGGAAUUUUUUAUUUUUUUUGCCCCCAACAAAGGAAUUGAAAUAAGCAAAUGAUUAAUUAGCAGACAAAUAUAUAUACUUGGAAGACUCUUAUGUGGACUCUUCUUUGAUGAAGACAACUAUUAUAUAAUAAUGAAGCCUUUCUAAUAAGGACCUUUAAGUUGGGGACUAGUUAAAGACUUUUCAGCUUAUUCACUUUUCAAUCUUAUAUCCACAUCUUGACCGUUCAGUUUAUAGGUAUUUAUGAGUAGAUUAUUUCUACAAAUUUUCAGUCAUAUUGAAAAUCGUUAAGACAUUCAUAAGUGUGAUUUACCAAUUAUGAACUUGAACGGUUCAUGUUUGACAUAUUUGGUUGAUCUAUUAAUUUGAUCUAUUUUGUUACCUUAACGAUCACCGAUUUGGCUGAAAAUUUGUAGGGUUGAUCUACAUAUAUAGACCUAAUAACUGAACGGAUGAGAUGUCAAGAUGUGAUAGAAAAAUAUGUCUUUUAAACCAUAAACUAAAAAGUCUUCAACUAGUCUUUAACUUAAGGGUCUCACGUACUAUAAUGACUCCCUAUAUAUUAAUAUAUUAAUACAGUAUAUGAUACUUCAAUUAUUGCAUAUACUUUUGGACGGAGAACUAUUAGCUAGGGGUUAUAACAAUAAUGAACAUGUCUUAAUAUGGUUUGCAUUUUAUUGGCAGAAUGAUCGAAGUGAUCGAUAAAGCCAACAAUAAAUUGGUAUGUAAUAGAAAUCAUAAAGCAUGUCACAAAGCUAUCAAAGAGUACUGUUCGGAGAUCGAGUGGUGUUUAUACAUCUUCGGCCGGAACUGUCUGCUGUUGAAGAGCGCAUCCUAAGGCGGUAUAUACACGAACCCUAAUUGAUUACAGUAUCAUCGUAUAUACCAACUCUUGUAAUCGGUCGAUUUCCUUAACUGAACUUUCACCUCUAUGUCAUCAACCCUGGUAUCAUCAUCAGUGGAGUGAGUGGUGAAAGACUGAAAGUCCAAUUACGAGCGAGGCUAGCUUGAUGGCACAUAGAUGAUGCGAGAAAUGAACUGAUUAAUUACAAGAUUUGGUAUAUAUAAUGGUAAUGUAAUUAUUGUUGUUUCCUCUGGCAAACUUCCAUGCAUGCUGCUUUGCUCGGCUGGAAUUUUGGAUGCAAAUUACAUCUCAACAAACCAAAAUCAAAUCCAAAAUUAGGGUUUGUGAACAGAAUAAGAAACUAUCGAAUAAUAGAUCAGGGCCCGACAUUGCCCACCUCGUAACUUUGUACUGAGAUUUGAUAGCAAUGCUCCCAAAAGUCACUUGAUUUAUUAGAUUUAGUUCGUUAUUAUUAUUAUUAUUAUUUUAAGAUGGAUUCAUGUAACAUGAUUCUAUCUUGUGAUUAUUUUAUGCUACAUGCAAGUAAAACGAUGAUAUGUUCUAGAUCCUCUUAAUUUCAACAUUCCACAUAGCACAUACACUGUAUAGGAGAAUUUUCCAAUUCCUAAUUAAUGCAUUAUAGGAGAAUUUUCCAAUUCCUAAUUAAUGCAGGAUUAUAGGAUAAUUUUCCAAUUCCUAAUGCAGGAUUGGAUAGACGUCGUGAUCGAAGUGCGUACCUAUUAAUUGUUUGACAAGGAUGUACGUACCAAUGAGAUCUUACUUAGGAAUUUGAGUCAAGGCUAGCUAGCUACCUAAUUAAAAUAAUUCAGCAAUGAAAAAGAAGCAUAUAUAAGAUGGAACUCACGGAAGGGAAGGAUUGAAAAUAGGAGGCUUAGGAGCGCCGAUAGCGGAUAACAACCACCACCGCACCACGCAUGUUGAAAACCAGGAGUCAGGUGCAGCUACCACUCAUACAUGUGCAAACAGCCAUGAACAAGCUAGACCAGAUCGAUGAUGAUAUAUAUCUAUAUAUAUGCCGCCAUCCCGGACAGUAUCCAAUACUCCACGGCACUAACUAGCUAGGCAUGGGGUUGGGAGCAGAAUCCGGAUCCGUUUGUGUGACGGGCGCCUCCGGUUUCGUCGGUUCAUGGCUCGUCAUGAGACUCCUCGAGCGCGGCUACACCGUCCGAGCCACCGUGCGAGACCCUGGUCCGAUCCGUCGAUUCAAUUAACUAACCUUGCAUGCUUAAUUUGACGGAUAUCAUAUCAUGUUAACCAGAUAAUGUUUGUGACUGUAACAUGCAGCUAAUUUGAAGAAGGUGAGACAUCUGCUGGAGUUACCACAGGCGGCCACGCUACUGACGCUGUGGAAGGCGGACCUGGACAUCGAGGGAAGCUUUGAUGAGGCCAUUAAGGGAUGCACCGGAGUGUUUCAUGUCGCCACGCCUAUGGAUUUCGAGUCCGAGGACCCUGAGGUAUAUAGCAGCUAAUGGGAGGGAUUGAAAGCCAGUAAUCAUUAAGUAGCAGAUAAAUAGAACCAGAUCGACUAGAUUUUCUUUAGAUUUAACUAUAUAGAAUACUUCAUUUACAAGUAUCUUAUACAGAGAUCGAACUAGGUACUUAUAUACUUGUAGUGAAAUGUGAAGUGUUGAUUAAUUUGGUUGGCACUUAAUUGGCAG
rnacentral:lncRNA from 1 species